GACGAACGCUGGCGGCGUGCCUAAUACAUGCAAGUUGAGCGCUGAAGGUUGGUACUUGUACCAACUGGAUGAGCAGCGAACGGGUGAGUAACGCGUGGGGAAUCUGCCUUUGAGCGGGGGACAACAUUUGGAAACGAAUGCUAAUACCGCAUAAAAACUUUAAACACAAGUUUUAAGUUUGAAAGAUGCAAUUGCAUCACUCAAAGAUGAUCCCGCGUUGUAUUAGCUAGUUGGUGAGGUAAAGGCUCACCAAGGCGAUGAUACAUAGCCGACCUGAGAGGGUGAUCGGCCAAAUUGGGAAUGAGACACGGCCCAAACUCCCACGGGAGGCAGCAGUAGGGAAUCUUCGGCAAUGGACGAAAGUCUGACCGAGCAACGCCGCGUGAGUGAAGAAGGUUUUCGGAUCGUAAAACUCUGUUGGUAGAGAAGAACGUUGGUGAGAGUGGAAAGCUCAUCAAGUGACGGUAACUACCCAGAAAGGGACGGCUAACUACGU
rnacentral:rRNA from 1 species